UCUAGUGACGAUGGCAAAGAGGUCACACCCGUUCCCAUACCGAACACGGAAGUUAAGCUCUUUAGCGCCGAUGGUAGUAAGGGGUCCCCCUUGUGAGAGUAGGACGUUGCUAGGA
rnacentral:rRNA from 1 species